rnacentral:rRNA from 1 species
GACGAACGCUCGCGGCGUGCUUAACACAUGCCAGUCGAACGGAAAGGCCCUGCUUUUGUGGGGUGCUCGAGUGGCGAACGGGUGAGUAACACGUGAGUAACCUGCCCUUGACUUUGGGAUAACUUCAGGAAACUGGGGCUAAUACCGGAUAGGAGCUCCUGCUGCAUGGUGGGGGUUGGAAAGUUUCGGCGGUUGGGGAUGGACUCGCGGCUUAUCAGCUUGUUGGUGGGGUAGUGGCUUACCAAGGCUUUGACGGGUAGCCGGCCUGAGAGGGUGACCGGCCACAUUGGGACUGAGAUACGGCCCAGACUCCUACGGGAGGCAGCAGUGGGGAAUAUUGCACAAUGGGCGGAAGCCUGAUGCAGCAACGCCGCGUGCGGGAUGACGGCCUUCGGGUUGUAAACCGCUUUCGCCUGUGACGAAGCGUGAGUGACGGUAAUGGGUAAAGAAGCACCGGCUAACUACGUG